rnacentral:rRNA from 1 species
GAAUAUUGGACAAUGGGGGGAACCCUGAUCCAGCCAUGCCGCGUGUGUGAAGAAGGCCUUUUGGUUGUAAAGCACUUUAAGCGAGGAGGGGGCUACUCUAGUUCAUCCCUAGCGGUAGUGGACGUUACUCGCAAAAUAAGCACCGGCUAACUCUGUGCCAGCAGCCGCGGUAAUACAGAGGGUGCAAGCGUUAAUCGGAUUUACUGGGCGUAAAGAGCGCGUAGGUGGCCAAUUAAGUCAAAUGUGAAAGCCCCGAGCUUAACUUGGGAAUUGCAUUCGAUACUGGUUGGCUAGAGUAUGGGAGAGGAUGGUAGAAUUCCAGGUGUAGCGGUGAAAUGCGUAGAGAUCUGGAGGAAUACCGAUGGCGAAGGCAGCCAUCUGGCCUAAUACUGACACUGAGGUGCGAAAGCAUGGGGAGCAAACA